rnacentral:rRNA from 1 species
AACGAACGCUGGCGGCAGGCUUAACACAUGCAAGUCGAACGCCCCGCAAGGGGAGUGGCAGACGGGUGAGUAACGCGUGGGAAUCUACCCAUCUCUGCGGAAUAGCUCUGGGAAGCUGGAAUUAAUACCGCAUACGCCCUACGGGGGAAAGAUUUAUCGGGGAUGGAUGUGCCCGGGUUGGAUUAGCUAGUUGGUGGGGUAAAGGGCUACCAAGGGGACGAUCCAUAGCUGGUCGAAGAGGAUGAACAGCCACCUUGGGACUAAGACACGGCGCAAACUCCUACAGGAGGCAGGAGUGGGGAAUAUUGGACAAUGGGCGCAAGGCUGAUCCAGCCAUGCCUCGUGAGUGAUGAAGGCCUUAAGGUUGUAAAGCUCUUUCACCGAUGAAGAUAAUGACGGUAGUCGGAGAAGAAGCCCCGGCUAACUUCGUGCCAGCAGCCGCCGUAA